CUUCGCCUCAUGAAAAACUCUGCCGCAUUGGUAAUGUUGUGUAACGUUUAGAAUUUUGUUCUGUAAUAUGGCCAACUCAAAAGCAGCUUUAGCCUUAAGAUAGUGAGAACAAAAAUCAAAGCAGAAUAAAUGCUCCGCAAGUAGCAAGCUGAGCACCCCUAUCAAAUGCCUUUUAACGCCACUGCCCAUAAGCCACCAGCAUUAAUGCAAAGCGUAAACCAUCGUACCACCGUCACCUACAAGCAACAUACACGAGAGGGAUCUCAAUACUCAUCCCGCUAGUGAUGAUCACGACAUCAUCGCGACCAGUGUAGGUAGAUAGGCAUCGAUCGGAGCAAAGAUAACCAGCGCACACAUAGAUCGCGCAAGAUCCUCUCAAGGUUCUCUCGUUAGAUGGAGGGCCGCGAGUUACAAUGAGGUCAUGUGGCCACACAAAUACGAACUAGCAGCGGAGAGACGAUCAGCAUGGUCAAGCAAACUUCGCUCUAACUUCGACAGUCCCCACAGAUCGCUGGAUCGAGUCAGCCGCGAAUAAAUUCGUCAGUGAAGCCUCACCGCGCGUAAUUCAUCAAGUGGACUGCGGUCAGAAUUGCAAGCGAGAACAAAAAAAAAAGGGAAGAAGCGACUGUUACUAAAUCCCGUAGUUGGUUGGCGCUUCUGGACCAGCUGCAAUAGUCAGUGUCGAACAUUUGGUCUCGAACCAUUACAGCCGGAAAUUGGUCGACCAUAGGCGAAACGAAGCUGACGAGGCAUCGCUUAGUAGCCGGAAUAGAUCGAUAGACGGUCUUAAACGAGGUGCAUAGGCAUGCAACCACUUGUUCGUCGGCCCAGGGGUGGCAACAUCUAAGGGACUGCGGAGACGAGCCAGUUCGUGCCCUAAAGCUCAGUGAGGACAUUACUUUGCAUCUAGCACCCAGCUGCAUGUGGAUUGAGCGAUACGGAGGAAGAGCGACGCACGCACACAGCAAAACCCCUGAAUAGGGGUUUUUUUUUUUGUUACAGUGCAUAAUCGUCGCGCAAGACAUUGAAGAUCCCGGCAGCAGUGUGCAAGGUGCAACGGCGGCCCAACGAUUACUUCGAUCACAGUGGCUGUGAGGACUGAGACGGAGCGGUCGGUGAAGUUACUCCCGACGAGGUGAUUGCCUUCAGCAUCGGUUACGACAUCGAGGACUUGCUGUUGCGGAGAAAUUCCACGGCUCCACGGCGUGGACGGUCAGGGAGUGAACAACGUUACUCCAGUGGCGGGUUCAUCUUCAAUCCCAGGGCAGCCUGCCCAAUGCCAGACCGAACUGCAAAGUGUAUGGCAUGGCGACAUGGUGCAUGACUAGAGGCGACAGGCAUGAAUUCCAGCUCGCGAUCAAUGUAUUGUGAGUAAACCCAACGUUAGAUGUAAGCCAUUGAUAGUGAAAUAGUUCAUGUUGCGAUAGAGUUAGGAGAUUAAGAAACUCAUGAGGGAUCAAUAGCUUGUACAUGAGAGUAUGGGUCAUUAAUACAGAUUGUUCAAAAUGA